AUACGGAGGGUGCGAGCGUUGUUCGGAAUUAUUGGGCGUAAAGAGCAUGUAGGCGGUCUGUUAAGUCUGGUGUGAAAGCCCGGGGCUCAACCCCGGAAGUGCAUUGGAUACUGGCAGACUUGAGUAUGGGAGAGGAAAGCGGAAUUCCGAGUGUAGGAGUGAAAUCCGUAGAUAUUCGGAGGAACACCAGUGGCGAAGGCGGCUUUCUGGACCAAUACUGACGCUGAGAUGCGAAAGCGUGGGGAGCAAACAGGAUUAGAAACCCUAGUAGUCC
rnacentral:rRNA from 1 species